CAUACAGAUACAAAGCUGUUGUCAGUCUUUGAAUCUGUAGCAUCUGAACUGCGUCACUGCUUCGGGUCAUAAUUUGGCCACUAGAUGGCAUCUGUCACUCAAACAUAACUAUUGGUCAUUUUUUUUGGGCGACUAACAUUACGACCUCUUGUUUUGUCUCGUAAAUCAGACAGACUUGGAGCUGCUUCUGGCUCAAUUUCUACAAAAAAAAAAAGUUAAAAGACUUAUUUGUAUUGUAGUAUUACCCCUAAAUUCCACCGGGCGCCGUGUUCCUGCUCCGACGCGGCUGCCGGAGCUGAUCGCAGCCACUCUAGUCAAUGUAUCCGAUUCCACCGGGUGCGCCGCGGUGCGUUUCAGAAGAGUCACAGAGGUGAUAGGUGCCUCGUCUAUUUUUUACGGAAGCCUUUAAACUGACUUUAAAUGGCGGAUGGCUUCCCCGCAGUGAAGACGCUCCGCUUCUGACACGCUCCCGGUGGAAUAGUGCGCUGUGCAGAGGACGGAGCAAAACCGCGUCGGAGCCGGAACGCGGCGAACACGCACCCGGUGGAAUCCCGGGAUUACUAGUAAAUGUGGGAAGAACGACGAUGAGCUUUUCCUUCACGGCGCCUUGUCAAACCAAAAUACAUCCCUGCUACGACCACUCCUCCUCCUUCUCCUCUUCUUCUUCCUCUUCUUCUUCUUCUCCUUCUUCUUCUUCGUCUGAUGAAGGUGAAAUAAACUCUGGAUGAAAACACACUGACACUCAUAGGAAACACAGAGCUAUGAGACGCCUUUCCAUUACAAGAGGACAUCCUGACUGAUUUUUUUGCACAGAGCAAAAGUGAGGAGGACUCUGAGGUACGACAAAACGUUACUUGAAUCAUCUGCUACGUGUAUUUACAACAUGUCUGCUGGCUAACAGAGUCCUCCAUGUAUUCAUGAGUAGAUGUUUUUUGGGAGACUGCUCCUCUUGCUGUAGAGAAAAAAGAACUUGUAAGUCCUGUCUGUACGUUGCAUAUCAUAUUCAAACCAAAACAUAUUAUUGCAUGCUUGGAAAGUAGAGCAUGUAAACAGAAGAAAAGUUUGACUUUUGUGACAACGGCUCAACCCAGCACAGCGAAUCUGAAAUAUGGGAACAACAACAACAACAGCUCAUCGAUAUCAAGUUUAUUGAAAUAAUUCUGUUUUAAAGGUGGAGUUAGUUGCAAAAUCUAUAUUUUUUAAAGUAUCAUACUGUAUAUGUUUUAUAUAUGGAUAGGAAUUGGUUAACCUUGUGAGUUAUUUUGUAGAUUUUUAACAUUUUUGCUAAUAUAUUUUGAUUUUUAUGUUGAUUUUUUUUUGCCUUGGUAAAAACAAAGCAGCUCCAGUGGGCAGCUCUGAUGAAACGUCUGCCUGCCAAAAACACUUUAAAAAAAAAAAAACAACAAAGAUUAAAAAUGUAAAAGAAGAAUGUUGGGAAAUUUAAACAAAAGACAGUCGAAACGCAUUUAUCGCAGACAUUUGACAUCUGAUUUUUUUUUGUUUUUAAAAAAAAACUGAUUUUGAAUGUUUCUGAUUGUGUUUGGGGGUUUUUGAUCAGAAUGCUGUAUCUCUGUUAUAUCAAUAACAUCUACCUCAGUGUCCGCUCAUUAACGACAGAAGCUUUAACACCUGAAUGACGUUGGUGUCUUUCCAUUAUCAGACCUGGGUUGAGUUUUUAAAUGCCUCUCUGUAAUUAUCUGGUGCAAUUAAAUAAAACCCAAAUGCUCUAUAAACUGCCAUUUAAUAACAGAGAGAAAAUCCAAAAAAGGUAAAUGCUACAGAUGCUGGUAGAGGAAACGUAUCACCUACAGUAAUACAUCACCAUAUUAAAUAGGGUUGAAUAUAUAUUGAAGCCAAUAUUGGCCUUUAAUUUAAUAUCAGAUGUCAUCCAGCCUGACUGAUGCUACAGCAAAACAGCUUAGAGCCUGACAUGUUGAUUUUCUUUGCACAUUUUAUUAAUUUAUUUGUGAAAUUGUGUCAAAUAUGUGUGUGAGCGAGUGUGACUGUUUAUAAUUUAAUUGUUGAUUUAAGGGCAAUAAUGUACUGCAGAGUGGGUCAGCCUGUCUUAAAGAACUGCUACACCUAAACCUAAAUAACUAAAUAAAAGGUUUAAUGUCGGUUGAUGGUCUAAAAUGUUGAAAAGAAUCCAGUUUUGUGGAGAUGCUUAAAGCCUGUAACUUUUAGGCACAAUAUUGGGGACAUUUAAAGGAAAAGUUUGACAUUUUUUUGGGAAAAUCUUCUGUUGUUUUCUGUCACCCCCAAUGAUGUCCCCGGGUCCGGGACGCAUUUAGCCUAGCUUAGCUUAGCACAAGAGGGUGCACAGGGAUGAAACUGAUAUCCAUCUUCUCAUCUGACCCUGGUAAAGAGGACAAAACAAACAUAUUUCCCAAAAAUGUGAGUGUUAAUGAUCAUCCUUAAACCUUUGUCCUGGUCUGUAAAAAGUUGUAUCCAUCAAACUCUUUGCAUCUACUCUGCAGUUUGGUCUUUGUUGUAAUUCUGCUUUGCUUAAGCAUAAAAACAGCCAAGGGAUAUUUCUGUUUGACAGAGGCACUGAUGAGCUGUGACUGGGCAUUAGUUGUGAUGAUUAAUGUGUUCUGCAUACUGUAUGUGCAAUAAUAAUACAGUAUUCCCCCUGUGAGAGCAGAAACGUCCUGAUGACUAAAGAGUCCAGUCAGAUUACCACAUAUUUAACCGUCACUUCACCACAUGAAACAUCCAUCGUAACGUCUUGGAGGACGUUUUCAUGCUGCUUCAUCAUCAGCUGCAGAGUUCAGUUCAGGCUUGUCACCAAAUUAUGUCAUUUUCAUGCAAAAAUAAGAGAAAGCAAUAGUGUGAGUGAUUACUGUGCUCUGGGAACUUCAGUGUAGAAGCAAAAUGCAUUUUAAUUUCUUUUUUUUUUUGUUUUUUUUUAUUUCCAGUUACUGUUGCCAUGUUUAAUUUGGCAAUUUUCAAUUGUGAUCUAUUUUUGAUAAAAUAAAUCUUUAAUGCUGA